CUGCUCAGGACGAACGCUGGCGGCGUGCUUAACACAUGCAAGUCGAACGGUAAGGCCCCUUCGGGGGUACACGAGUGGCGAACGGGUGAGUAACACGUGGGUAAUCUGCCCUGCACUUCGGGAUAAGCCUGGGAAACUGGGUCUAAUACCGGAUAUGAACUCCUGCCGCAUGGUGGGGGUUGGAAAGUUUUUCGGUGCAGGAUGAGCCCGCGGCCUAUCAGCUUGUUGGUGGGGUAAUGGCCUACCAAGGCGACGACGGGUAGCCGGCCUGAGAGGGUGAUCGGCCACACUGGGACUGAGACACGGCCCAGACUCCUACGGGAGGCAGCAGUGGGGAAUAUUGCACAAUGGGCGAAAGCCUGAUGCAGCGACGCCGCGUGGGGGAUGACGGUCUUCGGAUUGUAAACCCCUUUCAGUAGGGACGAAGCGCAAGUGACGGUACCUGCAGAAGAAGCACCGGCUAACUACGUGCCAGCAGCCGCGGUAAUACGUAGGGUGCGAGCGUUGUCCGGAAUUACUGGGCGUAAAGAGCUCGUAGGCGGUUUGUCACGUCGUCUGUGAAAUCCCUCGGCUUAACCGGGGGCGUGCAGGCGAUACGGGCAGACUUGAGUACUACAGGGGAGACUGGAAUUCCUGGUGUAGCGGUGAAAUGCGCAGAUAUCAGGAGGAACACCGGUGGCGAAGGCGGGUCUCUGGGUAGUAACUGACGCUGAGGAGCGAAAGCAUGGGUAGCGAACAGGAUUAGAUACCCUGGUAGUCCAUGCCGUAAACGGUGGGCGCUAGGUGUGGGGUCCUUCCACGGACUCCGUGCCGUAGCUAAAACGGCAA
rnacentral:rRNA from 1 species